GCCCCAAUAGCCAAGUGGAUAAGGCGUCGCCCUCCUAAGAUUCCUUGGGGUCAGGCGGAGGUCCCGGGUUCGACCCCCGGUUGGGGUU